UAACCGUAAAUAUUUUGAAGUCGGUUUUUUUUAAAACCCAGAUGGUUUCCUCUCUCUCUCUCUCUCUCUCUCUCUCUCUCUCUCCCCCUCAUGUAGCCUCUCUCUCUCUCACAACCAAAACAGCCACCGAUCUUUGGCCGGCGGGAUCUCCUCCGUCUGGCCACCUUUGGCCAUGAGACCACUUGCGUUAGAACCGUCUCUACAAGACCACUUGCGUUAGAACCGUCUCGACCUCCUCUACCCGUUCCUCCCCUUCUCUGAUGAGCCCAACCACUCCUUCACCGGCGGUAGCUCGAUAAAGUUCCGAUUUUGUCAAAACUUUUUGUCGUCGUUUCUGAUGAUUC
rnacentral:lncRNA from 1 species